UACGUAGGUGGCAAGCGUUUGUCCGGAUUUACUGGGCGUAAAGGGCGCGCAGGCGGCUGCUCAAGUCAGGCGUGAAAGGCCUGGGCUCAACCCGGGAAUUGCGCUUGAGACUGGGCUGGCUUGAGUGCGGGAGAGGAUGGUGGAAUUCCCAGUGUAGAGGUGAAAUUCGUAGAUAUUGGGAAGAACACCGGUGGCGAAGGCGGCCAUCUGGACCGCAACUGACGCUGAGGCGCGAAAGCGUGGGGGAGCAAACA
rnacentral:rRNA from 1 species